UGGCCCUGACUUUUGAGAGAAGAGCCAGCAGCCUCUGGCCUUGUUGACACCAUCAUGUGAGAGCCACUGGAGGGAAGGGCUAAGGACAGAGCCAGAUCUGGCUGGGCCAUCUCACCUUCGGGAGGCCGACCUUGACCCAGGAUGGAAACAAUGAAGUAGUCACUGGCUUUCCAAGGCCUGUGAUCCUCUUGAUAACUAGAAAUCCCAAAUUCUUAUCUCCUGCUCUUCCAGUCUCCUCUAUUAGGCAGAGCUUCGGUGAUUACCAGAAGAACACUCUGAAGGAGGCUUCUUGUCUGUCUGGAGCCAGCUGAGAUGGCCCUGAGAUCCACAGAGCCUCCUCCACGCCCCUGGAUGGAGGUGCUCCUGUUCUUCCACCCUUCGUAUCGCUCACUUGGCACCCAUUCCUGUCAUUAAUCACAAACUCCGUCUGAGCUAUUCCUCUCUAAGCCAUGCCCUCUGUACUCUGACUUGCCCCAAAUAGACAGAUGCUCAAUAAAUAUUUGCUGUUUGGCUGGAAA